GCGAUGAAUAGUAUGCCUCCAGUGUUAGAACUAAGGCGUCGUAUGCAGCAAAAGAGGGAUGAAGCGCGCCGCAUGUAUCUCGAUAGUACUUGUCUCAGGAGCCGCCCUAUGGUGCGUCCAUGCAUUUACAGGAAUGACGAAGUGUGACCAGCUGGGGUACGGAUGCAUAUCAUACUCAAAUUGCCCAUCACGGAAGUCUUUGGGUUCAUAUGGUUGUGGUGGUAUGAGAAUCUGCUGCCAGUUGGCCACGCUCAACAAAUGCCAAUAUAAGGGAGGCACGUGCCAAAGAACCUGCAAUAAGACGGUGAAUCCAUAUGGGAAUUGUGGCUGGAAGGGCUACCAGUGCUGCCUUCCUAUUUGACAAUCGCGCCAUUGUAGUACAAAAACCCAAUAUGUCUUGCUUAAAGGAUAAAGAUGAAAUAAAGCCUUCGCCAC